rnacentral:rRNA from 1 species
AUUGAACGCUGGCGGCAGGCCUAACACAUGCAAGUCGAGCGGAUGAAGGGAGCUUGCUCCUGGAUUCAGCGGCGGACGGGUGAGUAAUGCCUAGGAAUCUGCCUGGUAGUGGGGGAUAACGUCCGGAAACGGGCGCUAAUACCGCAUACGUCCUGAGGGAGAAAGUGGGGGAUCUUCGGACCUCACGCUAUCAGAUGAGCCUAGGUCGGAUUAGCUAGUUGGUGGGGUAAAGGCCUACCAAGGCGACGAUCCGUAACUGGUCUGAGAGGAUGAUCAGUCACACUGGAACUGAGACACGGUCCAGACUCCUACGGGAGGCAGCAGUGGGGAAUAUUGGACAAUGGGCGAAAGCCUGAUCCAGCCAUGCCGCGUGUGUGAAGAAGGUCUUCGGAUUGUAAAGCACGUUAAGUUGGGAGGAAGGGCAGUAAGGUAAUACCUUGCUGUUUUGACGUUACCAACAGAAUAAGCACCGGCUAACUUCGUG